rnacentral:lncRNA from 1 species
CUAAAAACCACUAUACUAUCAUACUCUAAUACUAACUAUCUGUAGAAAAUGUCAAUCCUGACCCAAUCUCACUCGGGAUUGUAACCAUACCUGUCCCAGGGACUGUGAACACAUCCGUCCCGCCUGUCAAAGCUAAAGCUACAAGUUGUAACUUGAAUUUGGUUACAGAUACAGCUAUCGCUUCUUGUACAGAAGAAAUUUCUUUGUAUACGGUGGAUUUGUCGGCGUGCCCGAAAAAACGUGUAAUCUGGAGCGUGACAGAGAGAGAGGAGAAUUGGUUUAAGAAAAAUAAAAAACUCAACCCCAACCCCUCAAAUUAGUGAAGGAUGAAAGAGAGAGAGAUAAUUUUGUAUAAUGAGAUCUAGAGAGAGAGAGAGAGAGAGAGAGUGAGAGAGAGGAGAAUUGGUUUAAGUAAGAGAAAAAAAAAAAACCCAAACCCCAACCCCUCAAAUCAGUGAAGGAUGAGAGAGAGAGAUGAAUUGAAUGAAAAAAAAGGCCAAUUUGCAUAAAAAAUUUACUUAUUUUGGGCUUUUGCAAAACCGGGCCACCUUUUUCGUUUUUGCAAAUUCGGUCCGCUUUUUCAGCAAACUGACCAAAAUACCCUUAUUACUUUUUCUCUUUCCUCUUUCUCUCUCCUCUUCGUUCUCUCGUUCUUUUUUUUUUUUUUCGCCGAAAAAAAAAGCGACGGCCGGAGCACCGCCAGGCGGGCUCUUCUUCUUCUUCUUCCUGCAGGAGCAAUUUUUUUUUCUCUUUUUCUUUUU